GCGCGAGUAUUAAAUCUAGUGUGAGAAUAAAAGAAGGGGGCAACUUAUCUUUGUAACAUAACAAAGUUUUUGCAUCCCAUCUCAUAAAAGGUAACAAUGGUAUGAAAAUAUAUGGCGCCAAAGUUUUCGCAUCUCAUCUCGUAAAAGGUAACAAUGGUUGGUACCAAAAAAAAAAUAAAAAAAGAGAAGGUAACAAUGAUCUAAUUGGACACCUAUAUGGCACCAAAGUUAUAGCAGAUUGGACUAGUCUUAUUUUUAUAUACCAAAAGCAUAUUUUAUUAAGUUGGUCUAAAAUUGUUCUUGGUUUUGUAGGAUAAAAUGUAGCAUGUUUGGGCCACAUACGU
rnacentral:lncRNA from 1 species